rnacentral:rRNA from 1 species
AUUGAACGCUGGCGGCAGGCCUAACACAUGCAAGUCGAACGAGUGGCGGACGGGUGAGUAAUGUCUGGGAAACUGCCUGAUGGAGGGGGAUACCUACAGGAAAAGGUAGCUCCUCCUGACUACCAUCAGAUGCGCCCAGAUGGGAUUAGCUUGUUGGUGGGGUAACGGCUCACCAAGGCGACGAUCCCUAGCUGGUCUGAGAGGAUGACCAGCCACACUGGAACUGAGACACGGUCCAGACUCCUACGGGAGGCAGCAGUGGGGAAUAUUGCACAAUGGGCGCAAGCCUGAUGCAGCCAUGCCGCGUGUAUGAAGAAGGCCUUCGGGUUGUAAAGUACUUUCAGCGGGGAGGCGUUACCAACAGAAUAAGCACCGGCUAACUUCGUGCCAGCAGCCGCGGUAAUAC